GACGAACGCUGGCGGCGUGCUUAACACAUGCAAGUCGAACGGAAAGGCCCUGCUUUUGUGGGGUGCUCGAGUGGCGAACGGGUGUGUAACACGUGAGUAACCUGCCCUUGACUUUGGGAUAACUUCAGGAAACUGGGGCUAAUACCGGAUAGGAGCUCCUGCUGCAUGGUGGGGGUUGGAAAGUUUCGGCGGUUGGGGAUGGACUCGCGGCUUAUCAGCUUGUUGGGGGGGUAGUGGCUUACCAAGGCUUUGACGGGUAGCCGGCCUGAGAGGGUGACCGGCCACAUUGGGACUGAGAUACGGCCCAGACUCCUACGGGAGGCAGCAGUGGGGAAUAUUGCACAAUGGGCGGAAGCCUGAUGCAGCAACGCCGCGUGCGGGAUGACGGCCUUCGGGUUGUAAACCGCUUUCGCCUGUGACGAAGCGUGAGUGACGGUAAUGGGUAAAGAAGCACCGGCUAACUACGUG
rnacentral:rRNA from 1 species